rnacentral:rRNA from 1 species
UAAGGUGGCUAUAACGCCGGGGAUCACCUCUUCCCAUUCCGAACAGAGAAGUUAAGACCGGUUGUGCUGAUGGUACUGCCCCAGUUGGUGGAAGAGUAGGUAGCCGCCUUUU